UACGUAGGGUGCAAGCGUUGUCCGGAAUUAUUGGGCGUAAAGAGCUUGUAGGCGGUCUGUCGCGUCUGCUGUGAAAAUCCGGGGCUCAACCCCGGACUGCAGUGGGUACGGGCAGACUAGAGUGUGGUAGGGGAGACUGGAAUUCCUGGUGUAGCGGUGAAAUGCGCAGAUAUCAGGAGGAACACCGAUGGCGAAGGCAGGUCUCUGGGCAUUAACUGACGCUGAGGAGCGAAAGCAUGGGGAGCGAACAGG
rnacentral:rRNA from 1 species